CCAGCAGACCCUCCCUUCCAGACCCUCCUACUUCCUGGACAGAAGCUUCUGUCCAGGAAGUAGGAGGGUCUGGGAGGGAGGGUCUGCUGGAGAUUGG